CUUCACUCUCCACCUUGUACUGCAUGGGUUAAGCAGCUGGAGUCCUCGGCAAGAUGCAGAGGUGUCUGGCUGCAGAGUGAUAGCUGAGACCUAAGACCCAAGAAGACACUGCAAUGCCCAAGGCAGGGUCAGGGACGCCGUCUCUUAAGACUCAGAACUUUAUGGGGAGCAGAAGCCGUCACUGACUACCACCCAUGUGCAUGUGCACACACUCACACCUUCACACACAAUACAUAAACAGGCACACACUCAAAUGCUCACAUUCACAUUCAUACACACACACACGCACAUGCACUCACAUACCCACUAACUCACUGUCACAAUCACAAACGUACACAAAUCCACGUAUCUAUUAUGCAUGUGUAUGUACAUGCCUUUUCAUUCUCUCUCUGUCACACACACACCCUUGUAUGUAUGCACACACACUAUUGCUUGCAUGGGCUGACACUUGUGAAGUGAUAUCAGAAAUAUUGUUAGUGACAUUUUUAUUUGGAAUUUUAAAAAAAGAAAUUGACAUCUCCUUCCUUAAAAGGCCACAAGAGUAUCUUCAACCCUGACAUCUUAAAUGUUUAUUUUUUAGCACACAUGCUUUACUGACUGCACCACUCACUUAAUUUAAGCCACAUGGCGAGCGUGCAAACUUUCCUUCAGUUCAUGCCGAAUGCUGAUUUGAUGCCUGUUUACCCAGAAACUGCAGAUCCAGUGGAAAAAAUACUCCAAGCUAUGGAGAUACCAAUUAGUCUCUCUUCCCAUGGUGGGCCAGCUUCUUCACAGGAUGAAAUCCAUGGGACAGACAGUGAGGUCCUUGGAAACCCCAGCUGUGAUGAAUAGGCCUUCUGGCUCCCUUGGGACUCGGCUGGUUAUUUUGUAGGAAAUUGAAUUUCUUGGUAAGUUAGAAGAAGUGCUAAUGAGCCCUAAUGUGGGGCCGAGAGGGCUGGAGGUGGACUCCAGUCUAGGCAUCAGCUGGGUCAGCUCCCACUUUUGCCUCUGUGACCCCUGGAUUCUCCUUUCCCUUCCUCCAUCUCCAGUCUCUGACAACCAAACUGGCACAAUUCCACAACCCUGGCAUGCUCUUCUCCCCAGGCACUGCCGCCUCGCUCCAGUCCAGACCCUCCUGUCUCUCUCCAGAGAGUCUAUGUUGACCCCGAACUUCUGUCCUUUCCUCUGACAACACCCAAACCUUCCAUGGGCAGAAGCAUUUGAGACAACAUAUGGCCUACAGGAUUCAGCAGGAAUUUCUCAGCCUGGUGCUAAGGCUUCUUCUCUGUGGCCAGCCUGUCUAGCAUCAACUUCCACUAGCUCUCUGUUGUGCCCUCUUUGCUGAUCCAACAGCAGUGGUCAUUGUUUCCUGAGCUUGCCCUGGUCCCGCACCUUGGCCUACCCACCAGUGUAUCCGAGAAGUGUCCACACUCUCCAUUAGCUCCCAUUGCAGGGAAGAGGGGUCCAUGUACCUGCAGGAUGGGGCUCUGCAAGGCCUAAUGGCUUUGGCUUCCUGGCUGCUCCGAGUUGCCUCUGGUGGUGUCCCUGUUUGUCCACUUGCUCCAGCCACACUGGCUGCCCUCAAAUGCUCCAGGCACACCCCCAGAGCAGGGCCUUUGCACUUGCUCUUCUUAAUGCCUGGAAAGUUCUCCACCCGGCUGUCCACAUGCCUCACUUCCCAACUUGCUAGGUCAUCCCUGAAAUGUCACCUCCGUGAGGCUGUGCUUGACCACAUCGUUUAAAGUGUCACCCUGCCCCUGGUUCCUGCCCUUCCACAUCCUCUUACUCUGCAGCCCUUGUCACCACCUGACCCUGACCCUGACCCACACCCACUGUGCAUGCUACUAGAGAGUGAGCUUCAGGAAGGCAAAUGCUGGGGCUGUUUCAGUCACUGCUGUAUCUCUUGAACCUGACAGAAACCAGGGACUUAGAAGCUACUCCACUUCCCAGCCCAUCUCCAAAACAGCCUAUUCCCAAGUCCAUCUUAG
rnacentral:lncRNA from 1 species